rnacentral:lncRNA from 1 species
GAGCUGGCCCUGAAAAGCAACCUGACCCAGGAAAGGGGGCUCUGCGCUUUUCUUAUCUAAGCAUCCUCAAUCGAAACCUCAUUCUUUCUUUCCGUUAUCUUGGCCUCCCAUUUAAUGCUGUGAGACUGAUUCGGUGCUCCCUCAGGAAUGUGCAAGAGAAGAUCCUGUGCCCAGCCAACAAACACCAGCGUUGCUUGAUGUUUUGAAGUUUAAUAGCCCAUGGAGCAUAUGUGAGAGACCGGAAUCGAUCUAUAAGGCUCACGCUGGUCUUGAACUCCUGUGCUCAAAACAUUCUACUUCAGCCUCCCAAGUUGCUGGGAUUAUAGGCUCAAGGUACCUGUGUUCAGCCCAACUCUUUUUUGACUAGCACGUGGGGCAUAUAUAAGAACACUUCUCACUUGGUAAAUAAAAGCUAGUACUUAAGAAGAACAUAACUGCCCCUACUCCAGGACUGUUCAGUGAAAUCUUUAUUGCUAUUUUUAAUGGACUUAAAAAAAAUAGUGAUGCACUAUUUUGCAAAACACCAUUUUAGUUGAUCUGACAACUUAAGCACAUUGAGAGUAGAUACCAAUUGUAACUUAAAAUGACUGCUAAGACAAAUCGACCCCAGGAAAUUGGGUCUAUAACAAAAACAUGUAUAAACCCUCAGCAGUAGCAGUAUUUUUCUAGUACCAGCGGGAGAAGUAAUGAAGUCUUGUUGACAUUAAGCUGGAGCAAUGCUUUUAAGUGAAGGUCUGCCUAAUUCUCGGAUAGAAUAAUCCAUAACUCAGCUCUCUGGGGGAAGCUCCUGUAUUAUCUCAUUUCUAUAUUCAGCAGUCAUAAAAGAUGUCAUUCAGAUGACCUGAGGUGUGCAAUUUCAUACAAUGAAAAGAAAAAGUUACUUCCUUGCCUGCACGUGGGCCGUCUUCCUGGCCAAGUAGAAGUGGCCGAGCCUUUCCAUCGCAGUUAGUUACUUUGCUGGGCUUCACUAUGUUACCAGAUCUUGAAAAACAUAGAUCUUUAGGUUAAACGAAAACCUCAAAGCUGAUGUCAUUAAUUCUGUCUUUUAUUAAAUAAUUCUGGAAAUGACUUGUGUCAGUAUCAUUCUGAGGUCCCAUUCCCUGGAGACUGCUCUGGUCUCUCACCGAGCGUUCUGUUCAUCUAGUACCAAGUAGCAAACCAGAUUGAUAUUUUCAAUGUCAAUUCUAUUAUCAAUCAAUCAUUUCAUAUCCCUAGAAAAUCCAUACGCAAUUAAUCUUAUUUUCUUGUUCUGCCAAUUAACUGAAGUUAAAGUUUAACUUCCUUUCCUUUAAGCCCAAAAUAAAGCGUUUUGUUCUAAUGGAUUCCCUGAAAUUCUGUAUAUAUUUAAAGAAUAGUUUCUCCUCUCUUGGAGUGCCUCUCCUGAUGAAUAUACAUAUGAAGAAAAUAAAUUAAUGAGAAGUAGCAUAGUUUUGAGAAGAU